rfam:Schistosoma mansoni strain Puerto Rico chromosome 3, complete genome
AUUCAGCUGACGAGUCCCAAAUAGGGCGAAACGCGCGUCCUGGAU